rnacentral:rRNA from 1 species
GUGCCAGCCGCCGCGGUAAUACGGGGGGAGCAAGCGUUGUUCGGAUUUACUGGGCGUAAAGGGCGGGUAGGCGGCCACUGCAAGUCGGUUGUGAAAUCUCCGGGCUUAACUCGGAAAGGUCAAUCGAUACUGCAGGGCUAGAGUGCAGAAGGGGCAACUGGAAUUCUCGGUGUAGCGGUGAAAUGCGUAGAUAUCGAGAGGAACACCUGCGGCGAAGGCGGGUUGCUGGGCUGACACUGACGCUGAACUGCGAAAGCUAGGGGAGCGAACGGGAUUAGAUACCCGAGUAGUCC